CAAGAGGUAGUUUAAUUAGAAUGUCAGUUUUGGGUGCUGAUGGUGAGGCACUUCAAGUCUUUCUCUUGA
rnacentral:tRNA from 1 species